rnacentral:misc_RNA from 1 species
GUGAAUCAUCGAAUCUUUGAACGCAAAUUGCACUCUCCUCGGUGAGUACGCCUGUUUCAGGGUCAGCCUAUAAAAUUCGACAUCGUUGCUGUUUCGCGGGGGCGUUCGUCGGCAAUUGGUUCAUCUUAAAUCCUUUUGAUUUAUGCGACUUAAAAUUUUCUUUUUGUUCCAUGAACGUUUCUAGGAUC